AUACGGAGGGUGCAAGCGUUAUUCGGAAUCACUGGGCGUAAAGGACGCGUAGGCGGGUUGGCAAGUCAGAUGUGAAAUCCUACAGCUUAACUGUAGAUCUGCAUUUGAAACUGCUAACCUAGAGUAUGGGAGGGGGAGAUGGAAUUAGUGGUGUAGGGGUAAAAUCCGUAGAUAUCACUAGGAAUACCGAAAGCGAAGGCGAUCUCCUGGAACAUAACUGACGCUAAGGCGUGAAAGCGUGGGGAGCAAACAGGAUUAGAUACCCUAGUAGUCC
rnacentral:rRNA from 1 species